UACGUAGGGAGCAAGCGUUGUUCGGAUUUACUGGGCGUAAAGGGCGCGUAGGCGGCAAAUUAAGUCAGCUGUGAAAUCUCCGAGCUUAAACUCGGAACGGUCAGCUGAUACUGAUCUGCUAGAGUGCGGAAGGGGCAAUCGGAAUUCUUGGUGUAGCGGUGAAAUGCGUAGAUAUCAAGAGGAACACCUGAGGUGAAGACGGGUUGCUGGGCCGACACUGACGCUGAGUGCGCGAAAGCCAGGGAGCAAACGGG
rnacentral:rRNA from 1 species